GCGCACCAGUCGCGAAACCUCCGCAAUACACGAAAGUGUGACGGGGCCAUCCCGAGUGCCGUCCGCUGAGGACGGCUUUUCCCCAGUGUACACAGCUGGGGGAAUAAGGAGAGGGCAAGCCUGGUGUCAGCCGCCGCGGUAAUACCAGCUCUCCGAGUGGUGGGGACGCUUAUUGGGCCUAAAGCAUCCGUAGCCGGCUGGGCAAGUCCUCCGUUAAAUCCAACGAUUCAAUCGUUGGGCUGCGGGGGAUACUGUCCAGCUUGGGGGCGGGAGAGGCCGACGGUAUUCCCGGGGUAGGGGUGAAAUCCUAUAAUCCCGGGAGGACCACCAGUGGCGAAGGCUGUCGGCUAGAACGCGCCCGACGGUGAGGGAUGAAAGCUGGGGGAGCGAACCGGAUUAGAUACCCGGGUAGU
rnacentral:rRNA from 1 species